rnacentral:rRNA from 1 species
UUAUUAGUUUUUUAUUUUUAGUUAUUUUUGUUAAAAGUAAUUAUUUGUUUGAGUAGGUGUUUUGAAAAGAUAGGGUGAAUUAUAGAUUAUUAGUACAGUGAGGGUAUAUAUUAUUAUUAUUGAAGAAUACUUUAUUUGUGGUACCUUUUGUAUCAGGGUUUAUUAAAUAAGGGCUUAAGAUUAAGAUUUCUCGAAUUUGAGAGGGCUAAGAAAGUAUAUAUUUUGUUGUGGAAUAACUAUUUUUAAUACUUUUUUUGUAAUGAAAUAUUAGUCGUUCUUUAAUAUAUCUAGUUUCUCAAGAAAUUAAUUUAAUUAAGCCGUUUUGGUAUAUAUUUUUUUAUAAAAUUUUUUUUGGUAUCGGGUAAUAUUUAAAGGGAUAAGCUUUUAGGUAAAUUAUUAAAAUAUUUUGUUGUUUAAAAUUAAAUAGGAAUAGAAGUUUUCAUUUUAUACAGUGAGUUGUAUCAGGAUUUUAAUAGGGAUGAUUUUUUGGUGUUUAAGUUUUUUAUUGAGAGGAGUAAUUUAAUUUUGAAUUUUGUGCUAUAAUGAUGAAAUUAGUAUAUUUUUAUGUGGAUAAUUUUUCUUUGCUUGGAAUGUUAGGUUAAGGAACUCGGCAAAUAGAUUCCUUGCCUGUUUAUUAAAAACAUGGCCUUUUGACAAUGAUUUAAGGUCUGGCCUGCCCAAUGAUUAAUUUAAUGGCCGCGGUACUCUGACCGUGCAAAGGUAGCAUAAUCAUUAGUUUUUUAAUUGAAAGCUGGAAUGAACGGUCGGACAAGGGAAUAACUGUCUUUAUCUAAUUAGUAGAAUUUUAUUUUUUAGUCAGAAAGCUUAAAUGGGUUUGAGGGACGAGAAGACCCUAUAGAAUUUUAUAAGUUUUUUUUGCAUUGAUUUUUGGAUUUGUUGAGUUUAUUUGGGGAGAACUUAUUUUGUUGGGGUGAUGGAAAAAUUUAAGAAACUUUUUUUUUUGAGUUUCACUGAUUUGUGAAUAAUUGAUCCACGAUUUGUGAUUAUAAGAUUAAAUUACCUUAGGGAUAACAGCGUAAUUGGUUUGGAGAGUUCAUAUCGAUAAACUAGUUUGCGACCUCGAUGUUGGAUUAAAAUAAACUUAUGGUGUAGGGGCUAUGAAGUUAAGUCUGUUCGACUUUUAAAAUUUUACAUGAUCUGAGUUUAAACCGGCGUGAGCCAGGUUGGUUUCUAUCUUCAGGAAAUUAUAAUAUUUUAGUACGAAAGGACCAAGUAUUAGCUUUAUAAGUUUUAUUGUGCCUGUCAUU